GGCAAACGGGUGAGUAUAAUGUGGGAAUCUGCCUUUUGGUUUGGAAUAACACGGGGAAACUUGUGCUAAUACCGGAUAAGCCCUUACGGGGAAAGUUUUAACGCCGAAAGAUGAGCCUGCACUUGAUUAGCUAGUUGGUAAGGUAAAGGCUUACCAAGGCAACGAUCAAUAGCUGUUCUUAGAGGAAGACCAGCCACAUUGGGACUGAGACACGGCCCAGACUCCUACGGGAGGCAGCAGUGGGGAAUCUUGCACAAUGGGGGAAACCCUGAUGCAGCGAUGCCGCGUGAGUGAAGAAGGCCCUUGGGUUGUAAAACUCUUUCGUCGGGGAAGAAAAUGACUGUACCCGAAUAAGAAGGUCCGGCUAACUUCGUGCCAGCAGCCGCGGUAAUACGAAGGGACCUAGCGUAGUUCGGAAUUACUGGGCUUAAAGAGCUCGUAGGUGGUUAAAAAAGUUGAUGGUGAAAUCCCAAGGCUCAACCUUGGAACUGCCAUCAAAACUUUUUAGCUAGAGUGUGAUAGAGGUAAGUGGAAUUUCUAGUGUAGAGGUGAAAUUCGUAGAUAUUAGAAAGAACACCAAAUGCGAAGGCAACUUACUGGGUCACUACUGACACUGAGGAGCGAAAGCAUGGGUAGCGAAGAGGAUUAGAUACCCUCGUAGUCCAUGCCGUAAACGAUGUGUGCUAGACGUUGGAAAUAUAUUUUUCAGUGUCGCAGCGAAAGCAUUAAGCACAC
rnacentral:rRNA from 1 species